UUUCUCGCACUGUGGUGGAUUCCGGCCACAUUGGGACUGAGACACGGCCCAAACUCCUACGGGAGGCAGCAGUGGGGAAUAUUGCACAAUGGGGGAAACCCUGAUGCAGCGACGCCGCGUGAGUGAUGAAGUAUUUCGGUAUGUAAAGCUCUAUCAGCAGGGAAGAUAAUGACGGUACCUGACUAAGAAGCACCGGCUAAAUACGUGCCAGCAGCCGCGGUAAUACGUAUGGUGCAAGCGUUAUCCG
rnacentral:rRNA from 1 species